rnacentral:rRNA from 1 species
CCUACGGGAGGCUGCAGUGGGGAAUAUUGCACAAUGGGCGAACGCCUGAUGCAGCAACGCCGCGUGAGCGAUGAAGGCCUUCGGGUCGUAAAGCUCUGUCCUCAAGGAAGAUAAUGACGGUACUUGAGGAGGCCUCCCCGGCUAACUACGUUCCAGCCGCCGCGGUAAUACGUAGGGGGCUAGCGUUAUCCGGAAUUACUGGGCGUAACGGGUGCGUAGGUGGUUUCUUAAGUCAGAGGUGAAAGGCUACGGCUCAACCGGAGUAAGCCUUUGAAACUGGGGAACUGGAGUGCAGGAGAGGAGAGUGGAAUUCAUAGUGUAGCGGUGAAAUGCGUAGAUAUUAGGAGGAACACCAGUUGCGAAGGCGGCUCGCUGGACUGUAACUGACACGGAGGCACGAAAGCGUGGGGAGCAAACAGGAUUAGAUACCCCAGUAGUC